rnacentral:rRNA from 1 species
GAGGUUCUAACCUUGAUCCGUGAAUCCGGAUCGGGGACCGUGCAUGGUGGGCAGUUUGACUGGGGCGGUCUCCUCCCAAAAGGUAACGGAGGAGUACGAAGGUACGCUUAGGGCGGUCGGACAUCGCCCAUAAAGUGCAAUGGCAAAAGCGUGCUUGACUGCGAGACCCACAAGUCGAGCAGGUGCGAAAGCAGGUCAUAGUGAUCCGGUGGUUCUGUAUGGAAGGGCCAUCGCUCAACGGAUAAAAGGUACUCUGGGGAUAACAGGCUGAUACCGCCCAAGAGUUCAUAUCGACGGCGGUGUUUGGCACCUCGAUGUCGGCUCAUCUCAUCCUGGGGCUGUAGCCGGUCCCAAGGGUAUGGCUGUUCGCCAUUUAAAGAGGUACGUGAGCUGGGUUUAAAACGUCGUGAGACAGUUUGGUCCCUAUCUGCCGUGGGGCGCUGGAUAUUUGAAGGGGGGCUGCUCCUAGUACGAGAGGACCG